UCUGCUAGGCUAUUACCUUGUGUCUGAAUGCCUAGUAUCCGUUGUAAUUUGAAUACUGGUAUCCAUUGUAAUAUCUGCUAGGCUAUUACCUUGUGUCUGAAUGCCUAGUAUCCGUUGUAAUUUGAAUACUGGUAUCCAUUGUAAUGUCUGUUAGGCUGUUACCUUGUGUCUGAAUGCCUAGUAUCCGUUGUAAUUUGAAUACUGGUAUCCAUUGUAAUGUCUGCUAGGCUAUUACCUUGUGUCUGAAUGCCUAGUAUCCGUUGUAAUUUGAAUACUGGUAUCCAUUGUAAUGUCUGUUAGGCUAUUACCUUGUGUCUGAAUGCCUAGUAUCCGUUGUAAUUUGAAUACUGGUAUCCUUUGUAAUGUCUGUUAGGCUGUUAACUUGUGGUUGAAUGCCUGGUAUCCAAUGUAAUGUCUGUUAGGCUAUUUAUAUAAUGCAUCGUAGCAUGUUCUUCUUUAAUUGUUUGUCUAAUAAGCUUGUUCCUGUAGUUUCUGUCAUAUCAUUUAUCUAACUCUUGUUUUGUUUUUGAAAAGCAAACAAUUUGUUGAAAAAAAUAUACACUUCAGAAAACUACAAGUCUUUUAUUUAUUUUUUAUUUUUAUUUGAGAAUUAUUGCUUCUCGAUAUUUAGAUAAGGCCGUCUUCUCUUUAUACGCAUAUGGGUAGAUAUUUCCACAGCUCUUGUUUGCGGUUGUUUACCUUCAAUAAAAACAUGCCACCCAAGUACCAAUUAAGUUAAAUGCUUAUAUACAUAUCCUGUAAAUGGACUAAUAAUCAUAGAAUAAAAAAAUGUGUUUUGAUUUUAGGCUAGUGUUUUAGUCCUCUACCCGGUAGAAAAGAAACACAAACAAAGUGCCGUAGAAAACAAAAUAUCAUCUUUACCAAAAGAGCGCUUUCGAAGAAGAUCUAAAAGCCACUUCCUGUAAAUUUCUACACUAAAGUUAUUGUCAUGGUUAUCAAUAUGCUGGAAAGUGAUAUUUCUUUGCUAAAUUUAGUUUUUAAUAAAUGUAUCUUAUACUGAUUCUGAAUGCUGAAAACGUACUCGCUCGAUGACGCUUAAUACAGAAUCAAUUUGUCAUGGUAUAAGACUAAAUGUACAAUAGUAUCUGAUUAAGGCAUUUACUUAUUUCGUUAUAACAAUAAUAAUGUUCUUAUCCCAAGUUAACCCCCAAAAAAAUCGUAAUAACAAAAAAAAAUCCGUUAUUACGAAAUAUUAGGACAGAAUGCAUGAUUAACAUGAUUUUGUUAGAACGAAAUAUUUAUAUUAUAAUAACGAAAAAUAAAUGAGUGAUUUUUCCUAAAAGAGAUCCUUGAUAUGGCAGCAGAAGUUAAAGCAGCACAAUAUUGAUAUUAUAACUGUAUUUUGUUUAUCUAGUACUCUUAAAGUAGUGAUCAAUCUCAUACGCAGUGAUCUCCUUUGGUGAGUUGAGAAGAUUUCUCUACAAUCACGUGCGAAAAUUAGCUUGUUUUCAGCUAUAUAUUUUAUACGAAAUUUAUUCAAUUUUUUCUCACUACCGUAUUGUUUUGUUUCAAUUUUUUUAACAGAGAUAAUCUUGAUUUUUAUAUAGAAUCAAUAUCAUUAUUUCAGUAAACCAUGUUGUUUUCAUAUUUAUAAUAAUCCAUGUUGUUUUCAUAUUUAUAAUAAUCCAUGUUGUUUUCAUAUUUAUAAUAAUCCAUGUUGUUUUCAUAUUUGUAGUAAUCCAUGUUGUUUUCAUAUUUGUAGUAAUCCAUGUUGUUUUCAUAUUUAUAAUAAUCCAUGUUGUUUUCAUAUCUAUAAUAAUCCAUGUUGUUUUCAUAUUUGUAGUAAUCCAUGUUGUUUUCAUAUUUGUAGUUAUCCAUGUUGUUUUCAUGUUUGUAGUAAUCCAUCUUGUUUUCAUGUUUUUAGUAAUCCAUGUUGUUUUCAUAUUUGUAGUAAUCCAUCUUGUUUUCAUGUUUUUAGUAAUCCAUGUUGUUUUCAUGUUUGUAGUCAUUUUUCUAAAUCAAAGAACGCAUGCGUUAAAAAGCUGUAGAGACUGACUGACCAUUGGAUAAACGUAAUAUAACAUUUAUGCAAAUGGUCAUUUAUUUAAGGAAUAAAUUGCGGGAUUGAUGUCAUUAUCGGGGUAUGAACGCAAUUGGGCUGGUCAAAGUGUUUGGAGUCUGAAGGAAUCCACGCGUACUUCGACCAGGCCAAUUGCAUUCAUAUCCCCGAUAAUGACCUCAAUCCCGCAAUUCAUUUAUAACACCAAUCAUUUCAUUCAAGAAUUGUUAAAAAAUACUUUAUUUCAUUUAAGAAAACCUUUCAGUUAUCAUUUCGUACCAAUUAUGUUAAUAGAACGACCCGACUCUAACCGGAAACGUUUUAUCAAAUGACGUCACGAUAACGCGGGAAAAGAUCAACCACUUGAAAUCACUUUUAAACAAAAAAUUGAAACACUUAUGGCAACGAAACAUUUAACAUAUCAUAAUUUAACACUUUCUAAAAUGUUUAUUUAUAUUUUACGGCACCUGCUGACACAAUACAAACAAUAACAAGAUCAAAAAUGUUCAUGUAUAUUGUUAUGCGAUGAAUUACGAUCCGAACAUAUCCGAAGAUGUUGCGUUCAUCGAUUGAUAAACGCAAUUACCGAAAGGCAGUUCAUUCAGGAAAAUGGAAGUUUGGGUGUAAAUAUUAUCAACACAGUUAUCAUAUGAUAUUAUACGCAGUUAAUUCCUAUCUUGCAUAACCGCGUCUGGCCGGUUUAGUAUAAAACUUGGUUUUGAAGCAGAUAGAUCAGAUUGAAAUAUCAACGGAUUUGGGGCGCGUUUCAGAGACGAUCGUUAAGGCGAUCGUUAGCUGAUUUUGGUAGUACGACCAAAAUUACCGAUCGGCACCGUUUCAGAGACGCAACGUGCACCUGCUUUAUCGUUAAUUUUGCUCGUAAACCUACGACCAGUAAGAGGCACUCGUUAACUUAACGAUCAAGAUGGCGGAUGAAGAUUUUCGCCAUAUCAAAGUAUACUUUUACUUUUUACCAACAUUUGAGAGUUUAAUAUUGCGUGUAGCAUGUUCGCUGGUGUGGAAUUUAUAAACUAUGUCUAAAAAUAGCUGAAAACAGUACGACAAUGUUCUAUUUUCGCCGUUCUGUCAAAAAAAAGGAUUUUAACUGUAGAAGAUUCAUACCAUUUGAUGCCAAGUGUACAAUAAAAACUGAAAUGAAAAUUGACAGCAGAAGUGUCAUGGUCUUGGUGGAAAAUGCUGUGCUCUUCAUUGACCUCUGUUUAAUAAUGGCUCAUGAUAAAAAAACUACCAGGAAUGCUUCAAGAUGGCAAUGGAGGGCAGUGUAAAAGACACUGAGAAAUCACAAUGUUUCAAACAUCUAGAAUAUGCCCAGAGUCAGUUUUCAAGAUACUCGCCUUAAAAGUUCCAGUGUGAUUUAGGAGACUUUGUCAGAACAGUACAUUAUACCUACAUACACUGGAGAUACCAGACCCAACAGAUAACUACAGAUAUAUUUAAACAGAACUUGAAAUUAAUUGCAUAUCCCAAUACAGCAUAAUACUUUAAACGGUUAAAAAGGCAGUGAGGCAUUUGUGUGUAAUCUUCAUUUAAUAUUUGAAAUUUCUUUUUCCUUUUUUUUUGAUUUUGCAUUUAAAAGCCAUUAGCAUUAGAUUUUUCAAAAAUAUAUGUAUUUUUAUACAGUUUCAACUGUGAUGUAUAUCGAGUUGUACAUGUUUCCUCUAAGGAUUAAAACACUUUUGAAUUAUAUAGGAAAAUUGAAAUGAUACAUUUAUUCAAACUUAUGAUAAAAUAUAAAACACACACUACCAUUGUUGAUCAUGUAAACCUUCAUACUAUCUUUUAUAGAAAUUAUGUGAAUCUUUUGAUAUUUCUAAAUACAUUUAUUUUUACUUU